GUACAAGAAGCCAUCUCUUCCAUCUCAACGCCGUCGCGUUCGAAGUCGGUGAGGAUGUCCACGUCGCCUACUUCUUCUGAACCGCCGCUGCCUUCCGCUGCCGCUUGGUAGCGCUGGACUUAGUGCUCUACGACUCCGAUAUGUAGGCGGUGACGUUACCAACCUCCUCCCCGGCACCUCAACUCCAAUCGAACCUAGGAGAACUGGAUGCCGGCCCCUUCCUCCGCUCUCCAACGCCUCCGCCUCCUCCUUGACCUGCUCCUCCAUCGCCUCGGUCACGCCCGCACCCAAGCCUUCCUCCACCGCCAGAAAACAUCUAUGGCUCAGGAUGCUCGGCCCAUUUCUUAUUCAGCUCAUUAUCACAAAAAGUCGCCACGUCUGGACGGUUGCUUCUGCACUGUCAACACCGAUGCUGACUGCAGCCUAUGCAGUUGAUUUUUGCUCGAUAUAGCUGCACUCAGGGGUGGUUUUGUAUACUUUGUGCAGCAGGUCCUCAGCUAAGCCUUAACAAGGGGCUACACUGCGGUGUGCUAUUUUCUAGUAGAAAUAUAAGUGAGAGAAAGCAAGGAAAGAUGGUCAAAUGAUCUUGAUGCAAAAUCUAACGGUUAAUGACAGAUGGCUAGAAAAUCCACAUUCAACAUUGGACUCGUCUGGCUUUGAUUUCUUUCUUUGAACGUUUGGCCUCGGAGUCUUGGCAUACUCAUUAAGAAGAAGAUGAGCACCCGCUUCGAGCUCAAGUGGGCGGAACACUUUAAAGCAUCCGCUACCAAACCAGCCAACGCUCCAUUUCUCCGUGAGCACCAGCGUCAGCGUCGAACUUGGGUUCGAGGGUUCGUGGGCAGGCUGCACAUUUAGCUUUUCAAUAGUCAUCAUUAUUUGACAACAGAGGCAUGGUCAAACGUUUGCAUUAUAUUGGAGACUAGUGGCACUUGUAAACCUAGUGCUUUCAGGUGCUGCAUAUUCUUGGACUAAUGAGUAGGGUACGAUCACUUAUGCGUAAAAUAUACAAUAAAAAGGGUGAAUAAUUGCAGAACCUAAAUUUAAUUUUUCAUUCACCAUAACUAAAUUUUCAGUUUACUCUCAAAAUCAGUUCAGGACAGAUUGCUUUCACAUCACUAAAAUGAUAUACAGAAAGAUCUGUUGUUCAAUUGCCCCUCAAACUUUAAUUGUAAAAACUAGACAACGAUAUAAAACUUAUUCUAAUAAAAAUCAAGACAGUCAGGUCUAUGGAUUAAGAGUUAUAAUUUUCGCAAGUAGAAAUUGGUGGCAAAAAUUUAUUAACCCAAAAAAUUGUGAAUAUGCAAGAAUUAUAAAAAUUCAACCAACCAAAAUUUUCAAAACUUUACUUAGAUGCUCUAGGAUAAUUUUGGAUGCAUCAAACAAAAAUAAAUUGGGUUAACUGAAUGAUCCAUAGAAAAUACACACAAAAUGAAAAAUGAAAAAGCACCGAGAAGGAAUGAAAUCA